rnacentral:lncRNA from 1 species
UUUAUGAUUCUUGUCCAUGAGAUCAGCAGAAUCAAACAAGAAUAAGUACUUACAAGUCUUUAGCAAAAUAAUCGAAAAGAAUGGACUUGAGUCAGAGGAAUGAAAUUUAAGAGGUGUAGAACCACAGUCAUCCUUAGUAGUGUGCAUCAGAACUGAUCAUACCUAAUCACGAUAGUGGAAGAUAAACUUCAGCAGAGUGUCCCACAGAUGAUCAGAAAACUGGAAG